ensembl:snoRNA SNORD36 Small nucleolar RNA SNORD36
CACCAAUGAUGGUUAAUAAUUUUUCACCUGAAUAAACCAUGUGGUCAUAUUUUAUCUGAGGAAA